CAGUCGAACGCACAGCGAAAGGUGCUUGCACCUUUCAAGUGAGUGGCGAACGGGUGAGUAACACGUGGACAACCUGCCUCAAGGCUGGGGAUAACAUUUGGAAACAGAUGCUAAUACCGAAUAAAACUUAGUAUCGCAUGAUACCAGGUUAAAAGGCGCUACGGCGUCACCUAGAGAUGGAUCCGCGGUGCAUUAGUUAGUUGGUGGGGUAAAGGCCUACCAAGACAAUGAUGCAUAGCCGAGUUGAGAGACUGAUCGGCCACAUUGGGACUGAGACACGGCCCAAACUCCUACGGGAGGCUGCAGUAGGGAAUCUUCCACAAUGGGCGAAAGCCUGAUGGAGCAACGCCGCGUGUGUGAUGAAGGCUUUCGGGUCGUAAAGCACUGUUGUAUGGGAAGAAAAGUUAAGGUAGGGAAUGACCUUAGCCUGACGGUACCAUACCAGAAAGGGACGGCUAAAUACGUGCCAGCAGCCGCGGUAAUACGUAUGUCCCGAGCGUUAUCCGGAUUUAUUGGGCGUAAAGCGAGCGCAGACGGUUGGUUAAGUCUGAUGUGAAAGCCCGGAGCUCAACUCCGGAAAGGCAUUGGAAACUGGUUAACUUGAGUGCAGUAGAGGUAAGUGGAACUCCAUGUGUAGCGGUGGAAUGCGUAGAUAUAUGGAAGAACACCAGCGGCGAAGGCGGCUUACUGGACUGUAACUGACGUUGAGGCUCGAAAGUGUGGGUAGCAAACAGGAUUAGAUACCCUGGUAGUCCACACCGUAAACGAUGAACACUAGGUGUUAGGAGGUUUCCGCCUCUUAGUGCCGAAGCUAACGCAUUAAGUGUUCCGCCUGGGGAGUACGACCGCAAGGUUGAAACUCAAAGGAAUUGACGGGGACCCGCACAAGCGGUGGAGCAUGUGGUUUAAUUCGAAGCAACGCGAAGAACCUUAC
rnacentral:rRNA from 1 species